GAUGAAGAACGCAGUGAAAUGCGAUAAGUAAUGUGAAUUGCAGAAUUCAGUGAAUCAUCGAAUCUUUGAACGCACAUUGCGCCCGCCAGUAUUCUGGCGGGCAUGCCUGUUCGAGCGUCAUUUCAACCCUCAGGCCCCCAGUGCCUGGUGUUGGGGAUCGGCCCAGCCUUCCUGUAAGGCCGCCGGCCCCGAAAUCUAGUGGCGGUCUCGCUGUAGUCCUCCUCUGCGUAGUAGCACAACCUCGCAGUUGGAACGCGGCGGUGGCCAUGCCGUUAAACACCCCACUUCUGAAAGUUGACCUCGGAUCAGGUAGGAAUACCCGCUGAACUUAAGCAUAUCAUAAGCGGAGGA
rnacentral:misc_RNA from 1 species